UCUCCGUAGGUGAACCUGCGGAGGGAUCAUUACAGAGUUCUCGCCCUCGCGGGUAGAUCUCCCACCCACUGUUAUCGUUACUGUGUUGCUUCGGCGGGCCGCCGGGCCCCGCUCGGCCGCCGGCUCCGGCUCGCGCGCGCCCGCCAGAGGCUCAGCAAACUCUAAAUGUUAGUGUCGUCUGAGUACUAUCACAUAGAUAAAACUUUCAACAACGGAUCUCUUGGUUCUG
rnacentral:misc_RNA from 1 species